UCUUGGCUCUCAUGACCUCGCUGCUUCUCGCCCUCGCGUACUUUGGCUUCGCUACUGGUGUCCUCCACUCUGCAACCUCUGUCCUGCCUGCUGCUACGGACCCACAGUGCCCUCUGCUCCGGUUGGUCCGGGGAGCCGACACCGCUCCUUUUUUCCACACAUCAUCAACAUCGUUACCAAGCAGCGAGAGUUGACCGUGCGAGCAAAGAGGGCAGUGCUCUUCGGACCCACGCCAAGUUUGCACCGCAUGACCUUCUGUAUUGGAGGAGGGCCCGGCUGCAAUCCACUAUAAUGCCUCCCCAAUGCCCCCUGCAUGGAAAAGUCACAGCAUCAGCAAGCUCAGGCCAUCUCACCCUUUCCUCAACAUGAGGGAAGUGGAUUAUUGGAGUAGUGCGGUACACCAGGGGCCAGUGACCUACGUGGCCUGGUCAUUACUCUGUGCUGGACGUGUACUUUCUAUCGUUGUAUGAAGAUCCGAAACGGAGAACAAAGGCAUAACUGUGCUCCAUGGACAAUAGCAGUACUGCUGAUGAAUAAUUUACAUCCGCAUUGGAUGAGAGCUAAUGCUGGGGGAUUGGGGGCGGGGGGGGGGGGGGGUGCAAAUUAUCCCUGG